ACAGUGGAAGUGAGGCAGAUUCCCAGCAAGCGGCACACAUGAGGAUUGUCAACACUAGCCAUCACAUAGGCUUCCUGAGAAGAAAGAAGAGCCAAUGGGAUGCAAGUGGCCUACAGCAGAACUCAAAUAAGGGAACCUCAGCCUCCUGCAGAAUGUGAGCAGGAAUUUGACACAAUUCAGUUUGUGAAAACUGUAUUGUGUUUCUUAUCACCGUGAAGAGUGAAACAGCCCCUGGAAGGCCCAUGCAGGAGGAAAUCAGCCUACCCUGGAUGCACUGGAGCAGUAAUGGGAUUCAUGUGGGACUGGGACUUGGAGAAGUGUGAGACUGGCCUAGGGGCAAAGGGUAUGUGCUGCUUUGUCUUGUCCAGUGGCUCAGGGGAAACAAGUGGUUUCUCCCCAUGGGAUAAUGCUAGGAAGCUGGUUCCAGAAGUCCAGAGACAAAAUCUAGAAGACAAUUUUCAGACUGUAGUUUCUCAUGUUGUUUAGCCUUGGCUGUCAGCAGCUCCUGGGGAACUGGCAAGGUCUAACAGAGAUCUCAGUCAUCUGAGAGCUGCUGAUCUCUGUCCCUCUGAAAGCAUAUGAGAAGCAGUGCCCCAUAGCCUUUUCCUUGUUUUGUGAAGUCCUAAGUUUUAUCUGAGUAAGAAAGUAAAAUUCCCAAGCCUCUUUCAGGAAGUGAGAUAACUUUUCACUUUUCAUGGCUGAGAAACUAGUCUGCUGGGAAUUUUUCUUUACAGAUUAGCAGUUCAUUUAUUUCUUUCUAACUAAGCAACAACAUGACGACAAUCUGCAAUGUCAGUAUUCAAAACAAUUGCAUAAUGACUGCAAUUUUAUACGAAGAACUCUGGUUGGAUUGUUAAAUAUUUCUUGCCAGCCAAAUUUCUGAAAUCCCUUCAGCUGCUACAGGGGAAAAUCCACAGUCAUAGAAUCAUAGAAUCAUAGAAUCGCUAAGGUUGGAAAAGACCCACAGGAUCAUCCAGUCCAACCAUUCGCCCUUCACCAAUGGUUCCCGCUAAACCAUGUCCCUUAACACAACAUCCAAAAAGUUGACAGUCUACUGUCAACUUGGCAAAACAAAUAUGAACACUUACAUCAAGUAUUUCCUUGUUGGCUUUUGGCGAUGUAGCCUCUCUCAAUUCUUUAAUAGCAACAGGAAUUUUAACCUUUUCCCCUUCUGGGAUCCAAAGUCCCUAUCAAAAAGAAGUACAAAGAAUUACUCUGUUCUUACGUCUAACAGGUUAAUUCUCACAAUUAUGUACACACUUUACAUCUUCUGAGUAGACUUAAAUAUUCUGAGCAAUGGGAAAGCAAAGCAAACAACAAAAAUUUGACAAGCAAUAUGCAAAAAGUCAUUAUAACUUGUGGGUAUUAAAAGAAUCUACCAUAUUUUUUUGAAAAAAAUACUCACAAAAAAAGCCAUGUCAAUUACCUGUAUGAAUAGCCCAAGACAUACAUAAGGAAUACCUCACUUGGAUAGAAACCUAAUUAAUUAGCACAUCAUGGCAACUGCAAUAGCAAAACAUUGCCACUUCCAAUUUAUAAAUCACUGGUUCAGCAAUAUAGACUCAGCAAAACAAAAAACAAAACAAAACAAAACAAAAAAUCCCAUGUUAUCAAAUUAAUAAAUCAAUUAAUGACAAUUUUAGUAGUAUCUCUGCCAGUUCAACACAUACAAGUUAUAAAAGCUAGUGAAAAAAAUCUGCAACAGUAACCUCAGCUCUCAAUUCAUGCUUUGUUCUGGUGGCAUUUCCAUGUGGGAACAAGACAGAGAGGAAGAGAAACAUUGUGAUCUUACCUUAUAAACAGUGCCAAAAGCUCCAGAGCCCAAAACUUUGACCUUUUUAAAUUCUGUUUCCUUUAAAAUUCUCAGGUGGGCCUGGUUUGGUGCCUCCCCACUGGGUGUCAGUGGUUCGACAAGCUGGUGCAGACAGAAGAACAAGGUUUUAGAAGGAUACAGGUUGGAGUACAGCAAGCAGCACAAUUUGGGAAGGAAAGUAGUCCUACAUUUAAAAUAAUGAACAUAUUAUUGCAGCUGAAGUUUAUGUGAGGGCAAUUCUGCUCUGACUUACAGUAAUAAAUAUCAAGAGUUGUUCCAAAUAUCAGAGGUAAAAUAAAUAAAAUUGAGCUCCGCUACACCAUUUCUGUUCACUGAAAUUGAGCGGAACAGCAGCUGCCAUUUUGAAUGAAAAUGAAGUUUGAUGUUCAAAUGAAGACUUAGACAUAAAAGACUAAAAAAAAAUAUGGCAUGAAGAACAGUGCAAUUACCACAGGUCUUAAAUAAGGUUAUUUUUUUCAACUUGCAUAUAAAUUAUAAAAAUGUUUUAAGUAAUGUGCAAGAACCACCUGCAACCUUUCAGGUUUGUUCUUGUUUAAUUAGAUGAAAUUCCCAUGGCACUGGAGGUAGCUCUUCCAGACCACAGAGUUUAAAAACAACAAUUUAAACUGUGGGCACAAUUAUUUUAUAAAUUGAAAAUGAAAAGUUGAAUUGACUGUUGAAAUUUGAUCUAAGCCUUGUUGCAAACAGUAGCAAUGGCCUCCAAAAAGAAAUAUUUAACACUUUUUUUUUUUUUUUUUUUUUUUUACUGUGUAAGUCAGUUUUUUUCCCUUUAUUGAUUUUCUUAUGUUGCCACUAUGCUUUUUGGGAGGGAGAAACAACUCAGUGCUCAGGGAUUACAUGGCAAGGUUGCACAGAUUAGCAAACAUUACACAUCACCCCUCAGGCAGAGUCUUUUCCCCAAGUAGUGGGGAAAUCUCAGUGAUUGCCACCAAGAUUUAUAUAUCUAAAUUCCUAAGGUUUUGGAAAAUUAUAUCCACAGAGAUCAGAUUUAAGAUUAAAUGAGAAGGUGUUAGGUGCUCACUGCCUCUUUUCCAAUGAAUGUGGCAGAUGCCAUGGCAGACAAGCCAUGGGCUUAUUGAAUUACAAGGCAGAUCCAUGGUGCUGCAGCUCUCAGGUUUAAGGUGGUCUGGCUUCAUUGCCCUCAGGAAAGAAGCCUGUCCUAGAUAUGUUCGCAGUGCUCACCUCCCUCUCUUGCAGCAGCCUGCGCAGGGUGCGCUUCCGCACGAUAUGACGUCGCCGCAGGUAAAGACCGAUGCCUAGACCAACCACAACCAGGCACAGGAGUCCUCCGACAACACCAGCCGCGAUAGAUGGAGUUUUAGAGCUGCCAGGCACCAGGGAUGCAGAAAGAGAAGAAAACGCUUAGAAGCACAUGAAAUGGAAACUACCCAAGGAUACUACACAUUUUCUACUUUGAAUAGCAUUUCAUUUGUGUUUAAAGGCAAUGACUCUGGUCAUUUUUGGCAGAACUGUUUUUACUCAGACUGUAACAGCGCCUGGAAUGCUGUAAGUAUUUUAAAUCAGGGAAACCAGUAAUUCUGGUUCAAAUUCUACAGAAAAAACAAACCCACAAAAAACCCACACCAGAUCCACACUGUUCAUUUCAGUGAACUACAGUAAGACAUGCUAUGUGAAGAUUACUUUAAUUACUGUAUUAUCUAAGGGCUAACAUAAUUGACUAAUUAAUAGAUGCUGGGAAAUAUGGAACAAGAGGUGGUCACCACCUGAUGUAGUUUAAAAUGUUUGAUGGCAUCACUUAGGCCAUGGUGGUCUGAACUGGAAGGGAGGAUGGAAAUAGUUCACAUUGCUGAGCAGUCACUCCUCAAGACUGAUGGGCAAGGGUCAAAUACAGAGGCUGCAGGAGAUGGUAAGAGGUGUUCUAAAGAAGCAGGUGAUGUGAUUUCAGUUAGUGAGAAAGGCUUAUUGAGACAGAGGAGGAUUACAGAGAAUUACAGCUUUAUCAUUAAGACAUGAAUUUCAUCUGAUUAAAAUGGAAUUAUUUUUCACAGUUGCCAAACUGAACAUUUCAUAACACAUAAGAGUAUUCUAAAAAUUAAAGAAAAAUUAUAUGAAAAACACUGAGAGAGAUUCAUGACUGACUGACAAGACUGCGCUGUUUUUACUUUUGUGGAAGUAUUUUAAGUAUGAACACGUAUAUAAAUGGAUAAAGUAAGAAAAUCCAAUCAUUUUGUUUUGAUUGCUUUUCUUUUAUCAUACUUUAUGCCUACAACUACUUUAACAUUGGCUAUAAACUUUAACCUAGUUAGUUAAAAACAGUUUCAAGUAAAAACUGCAUCCUGGGUGUUUUUCAGUAAGCACUUUUUAAAUCUCAAUCUUAACAGGUCUUUUCAAGUUACUGUAUUAAUCCACUAUUUUAACAACUAUUUUCCUGUGAGUAAGGAAUUGUAAUUUGUUCAUGAUAACUUGGCUGUUCAGUAACCACACAUUCCUAAAUUACUAUAUCUUCACUUACGUUUUGUGUGUGUGUGUGUGUGUGUGUGUGUUUUUCUACAAAGACACAAGAAAGACCCUACGAUGCUUGUGACUAUGGGGCUAUGUGGAUAGCACAUGAUGGGGGAAAAACACAUCCUAAAGUUAUCUCUUCUAGGUUUUUCUCCCCCAACAACAGAUCUUGAUCUCUAUUUUUCCCCUCUCCCCCACCUCUGCCUGAUCGUGGCAAAGGGUAAAUGGGAAUUCAAGAUCAUAUCAUUAUACUGAACUAUAGCUCAAGGUACUGGUUUGCUAAGCCAGUUCUAUCCUUACCGGUCCAGAGCAGGUUGUGUUGUAUGCAGUGGAGUUCUGUACCAGACACUCUGAGUGGC